rnacentral:rRNA from 1 species
AUGAACGCUGGCGGCGUGCCUAAUACAUGCAAGUCGAGCGAACAGACGAGGAGCUUGCUCCUCUGACGUUAGCGGCGGACGGGUGAGUAACACGUGGAUAACCUACCUAUAAGACUGGGAUAACUUCGGGAAGCCGGGGCUAAUACCGGAAAAUAUAUUGAACCGCAUGGUUCCAUAGUGAAAGACGGUUUUGCUGUCACUUAUAGAUGGAUCCGCGCCGCAUUAGCUAGUUGGUAAGGUAACGGCUUACCAAGGCAACGAUGCGUAGCCGACCUGAGAGGGUGAUCGGCCACACUGGAACUGAGACACGGUCCAGACUCCUACGGGAGGCAGCAGUAGGGAAUCUUCCGCAAUGGGCGAAAGCCUGACGGAGCAACGCCGCGUGAGUGAUGAAGGUCUUCGGAUCGUAAAACUCUGUUAUUAGGGAAGAACAAAUGUGUAAGUAACUAUGCACGUCUUGACGGUACCUAAUCAGAAAGCCACGGCUAACUACGUG